GCCUGAACCAGAGCUCUGGGGAAGAUCUGCACCAGGGAGACCAGGGAGGACCUAGUGUGCAGCAUGGCAGCUCUGGCUCAACUCCUCUGUUUCUUGUUACUCUGGGUCCCAGAUUCCACUGGACAAACCCUUUUAACCCAGUCUCCAGCCUCCUUGGCUUUGUCUCCAGGAGAAACAGCCACUCUCAGCUGCAAGGCCAGUCAAAGUGUCAGCAGCUACCUAGCCUGGUACCAGCAGAAACCUGGCCAGGCUCCCAGGCUUCUCAUCUAUCGUGCCUCCAGCAGGGCCCCUGGCAUCCCAGACAGGUUCAGUGGCAGUGGGUCGGGGACAGACUUCACUCUCACCAUCAGCAGCCUGGAGCCUGAAGAUGUUGCAACUUAUUACUGUCUACAAACUUGGAGUACACCUCCCACAGUGAUACAAGCCAUGACAUAAACCUCCCAGGGAAGC